UUAUACUUCCGCCAGCGGUCCCCUUUUUGGGGCCCAAGCGCCAGUGAUGAGAAGGGGUUUCAGCGUUUGCUGUGCUCUCGCUCCUGCUGGCGCCCAUGGUGUGGUGCGGCUCUGUCGCCCCCGCCGUGGCUCCACUGGUCUGCUGGCUCCGGCUUGCCGGGUCUGGUCGACCGGAAGGGUGGACCUCCACCUCGACCCCGUCCCUCGAGGAACGUCUCGAUGA
rnacentral:ncRNA from 1 species